GCUGCUGGAGGUGCGGAACCUGACCGUCACGUACGGAGGGACCGUCCCGGCCGUACGGGGCGUCGACCUCCGGGUCGAGGCCGGGCAGAAGCUC
rnacentral:tRNA from 1 species